rnacentral:rRNA from 1 species
UACGUAGGGGGCGAGCGUUGUUCGGAAUUACUGGGCGUAAAGGGCGCGUAGGCGGCCUGCUAAGUCGAACGUGAAAUCCCUGGGCUCAACCCAGGAACUGCGUCCGAUACUGGUUGGCUUGAAUCCGGGAGAGGGAUGUGGAAUUCCAGGUGUAGCGGUGAAAUGCGUAGAUAUCUGGAGGAACACCGGUGGCGAAGGCGGCAUCCUGGACCGGUAUUGACGCUGAGGCGCGGAAAGCUAGGGGAGCAAACGGGG